ensembl:lncRNA
CUCGCCGGGGGGUGCGGGGGGCUCUGCCGCCGCGGGAAGGGCUCGAGCCCGGGGUGCACGGCGCGGGAGAGCCCGGGGGCGUUUGCCGUGGGGCAGCGGGGACCCAGCGGAGGCGGCCUGAGUCGGGGUCCCGGGGGGUCCCCAAACUCACCCCAAGGCGGGAGAAAAUGAAUCAGAGAGAGAAARCAGCGCGUGGAGGAGACGUCUGCCGGCGCGGCGCCGCUGCCGUGCCCCCCGCCGAGGAGAGCCCCUCGCCCCGGCACAAAACGCAGAGUUUUACAACAGACGUGUAACGCUGGGGGCAAUCGGCCCCGCGGGAGAGCRGCCGGGCCGUCCCGCCGGCGAAGGCAUCCUGCCCCGGCCCAGGGCUGGGGGGGUCCCACCGCCUCCCGCAGCCGCCCCCGGCGCCGCGGGACCUGCACCGGGCACGGGCCCCGGCCGGGGGGGCUCCGGGGGCUCCCGAAACAAAGACACGUUUGGAAACGGCCUGGGCAGCACAAAGGUGCCAUUCAGGGGGGCUUGCAGGGGGGCCGCUGCCUGCCCGGACGGGAGGGCCGCUGUUCGCGGGGGGGUGCCAGGGCCGCUCUCAGUUUGCACACAAGCGAGCAGAGCUGCUCAUCCCCGUAAGCCGGGCUUUAAAAUAAAUAAGCCCGGGAGAGCAGAGGCGCCCCAGGCCGUCGGACACCGCCAGCCUGUCUGAGCUUCGUUUCCGAGAACGCCAGGGCUUCGGUGUCCGGGAGCAGCGGCUCUCUGCAGACGCCCCGCCGGGAUAGCAGAGAUUUAUUUGCAAGGCUCUUCCUGGGGAGCCGUGCAGAAACCUCGAGCCGGGGCCAGGCUGACGCCRGCUGAAUGGCGCUUUUGUGCGCGGGGCUGCGGCCGUCCCCGGAGCCGGCCGGGCAGAGCGCCAGGCAGUGCCGGGUGCGCACGGAGGCCGGGGCGCCGGCUCCAUCCGUGCCCUCGCCGGGGGACGCUGGGGACAGGACGGGCUGUGGGGCAGGCGAUGGGGGAGGCAGGAGCUGCUGCUUGGCGCCUGGGGAUGCUCGCGCCGGUCCCAGCUCCUGCGGGUGGGUGAGGGCCACGCGGGCGGUGCUGCCGCCUCCGAGCACCAGCAUCUCCCGCCGCCACCAUCCCUGCCUCUYCCCCCCAUCCCUGCCUCUYCCCCCCAUCCCUGCCUCUCCCCCCCAUCCCUGCCUCUUCCCCCCAGCGAGGGCCGCCAGGAGAGCCCGGCCCGCGAGGGCCCCCCGGUCCGCCAGGAGUGCCGGGAGCCGACGGCAUCGACGUGAGUGCGGGCCGCGGGGAGGGAGGGACGGAGGGAGGGAGGGAGGGAGGGGGCCGCCGGCACAAAGAGGGACAUUGUGCGGGGCAGCGGCUUGCGGCCGGGGAGCUGCUGCGGUUUGCAGAGGGCCGGGGGGCUCCUGCGCGCAGGGAGGGCUCCGCCGGCCCUGGGGAGCGCCCCGUGGCCGGCCGGCCCGUGCUAUUUAUACCCCAAAGCCGCAGCUUUCCUGCAGCCAAGCGAAGCGCGCUGGUCCCAGCCCCAUCCUGGCCUCCGAGCUGGGGGAUCCCGCAGCUCCCGCCGGCUUCGGGAGGGCACAGGGGGACCUGGAGCAGGCAACGAGCAUCCGGCUCUGCCCGGAGGGUGACCCCCCCCCCCAUAACCUCCUCCUCUUCCCCAGGGUGACAAAGGCUCGCCGGGAGCACCGGGGCCCUCGGGUGCCAAGGGGGAGCCCGGCGCGCCCGGUCCGGACGGGCCCCCAGGGAAGCCGGGCAUCGACGGCCUGACAGGAGCGAAAGGGGAACCGGGGCCCAUCGGCGGGCCAGGAGUUAAAGUAAGUGCGGCUGCGGCGCGGCAGUGGUGCGGCGUCGGGCUGCGGCAGGCACCAAGGCUCCGUCCAGCACGGUGGUGACCACGUGCAGCUGGUGCACGGCGCGGGCUCCCCCGCUUUGCACAGCACCCUGCGCCCUGCAGCGCGCCGAUGGCCGGCUGCCGAUCCGGCUCCUGACUCUCCCCUUCUGUCCCGACAGGGCCAGCCCGGACUCCCAGGGCCGCCGGGGCUCCCCGUGAGUAAUCCGCCCGUCCGCUGGGAUGCAGGGAGCCCCGAGCAGGGCUGGGGUCCCCCGCUCUCCCCUCGC